rnacentral:rRNA from 1 species
GAUGAACGCUGGCGGCGUGCCUAAUACAUGCAAGUCGAGCGAACAGACGAGGAGCUUGCUCCUUUGACGUUAGCGGCGGACGGGUGAGUAACACGUGGGUAACCUACCUAUAAGACUGGGAUAACUUCGGGAAACCGGAGCUAAUACCGGAUAAUAUUUCGAACCGCAUGGUUCGAUAGUGAAAGAUGGCUUUGCUAUCACUUAUAGAUGGACCUGCGCCGUAUUAGCUAGUUGGUAAGGUAACGGCUUACCAAGGCAACGAUACGUAGCCGACCUGAGAGGGUGAUCGGCCACACUGGAACUGAGACACGGUCCAGACUCCUACGGGAGGCAGCAGUAGGGAAUCUUCCGCAAUGGGCGAAAGCCUGACGGAGCAACGCCGCGUGAGUGAUGAAGGUCUUCGGAUCGUAAAACUCUGUUAUUAGGGAAGAACAAACGUGUAAGUGACUGUGCACGUCUUGACGGUACCUAAUCAGAAAGCCACGGCUAACUACGUG